rnacentral:rRNA from 1 species
GACGAACGCUGGCGGCGUGCUUAACACAUGCAAGUCGAACGAAGAGCGAUGGAAGCUUGCUUCUAUCACUCUUAGUGGCGAACGGGUGAGUAACGCGUAAUCAACCUGCCCUUCAGAGGGGGACAACAGUUGGAAACGACUGCUAAUACCGCAUACGAUCUAAUCUCGGCAUCGAGGAUAGAUGAAAGGUGGCCUCUACAUGUAAGCUAUCACUGAAGGAGGGGAUUGCGUCUGAUUAGCUAGUUGGAGGGGUAACGGCCCACCAAGGCGAUGAUCAGUAGCCGGUCUGAGAGGAUGAACGGCCACAUUGGGACUGAGACACGGCCCAGACUCCUACGGGAGGCAGCAGUGGGGAAUCUUCCGCAAUGGACGAAAGUCUGACGAAGCAACGCCGCGUGAGUGAUGACGGCCUUCGGGUUGUAAAGCUCUGUUAAUCGGGACGAAAGGCCUUCUUGCGAAUAGUGAGAAGGAUUGACGGUACCGGAAUAGAAAGCCACGGCUAACUACGUG